rnacentral:rRNA from 1 species
GACGAACUGUCCUAACGUUGUUCGGAAUCACUGGGCUUAAAGGGCGUGUAGGCGGUCCGCCAAGUCAGGGGUGAAAUCCUGCAGCUUAACUGUAGAAGUGCCUCUGAUACUGGCGGUCUUGAGGGAAAUAGGGGUGUGCGGAACUUCCAGUGGAGCGGUGAAAUGCGUUGAUAUUGGAAGGAACGCCGGAGGCGAAAGCGGCGCACUGGAUUUCUUCUGACGCUGAGGCGCGAAAGCUAGGGGAGCAAACGGG